rnacentral:rRNA from 1 species
GAUGAACGCUGGCGGCGUGCCUAAUACAUGCAAGUCGAGCGAACGGACGAGAAGCUUGCUUCUCUGAUGUUAGCGGCGGACGGGUGAGUAACACGUGGAUAACCUACCUAUAAGACUGGGAUAACUUCGGGAAACCGGAGCUAAUACCGGAUGAUAUUUUGAACCGCAUGGUUCAAAAGUGAAAGACGGUCUUGCUGUCACUUAUAGAUGGAUCCGCGCUGCAUUAGCUAGUUGGUAAGGUAACGGCUUACCAAGGCAACGAUGCAUAGCCGACCUGAGAGGGUGAUCAGCCACACUGGAACUGAGACACGGUCCAGACUCCUACGGGAGGCAGCAGUAGGGAAUCUUGCGCAAUGGGCGAAAGCCUGACGGAGCAACGCCGCGUGAGUGAUGAAGGUCUUCGGAUCGUAAAACUCUGUUAUUAGGGAAGAACAUAUGUGUAAGUAACUGUGGACAUCUUGACGGUACCUAAUCAGAAAGCAACGGCUAACUACGUG